rnacentral:rRNA from 1 species
UCUGGAGACAGGUGCUGCAUGGCUGUCGUCAGCUCGUGUCGUGAGAUGUUGGGUUAAGUCCCGCAACGAGCGCAACCCUUGCCUUUAGUUGCCAGCAGUUCGGCUGGGCACUCUAAAGGGACUGCCGGUGUUAAACCGGAGGAAGGUGGGGAGUGACGUCAAGUCCUCAUGGCCUUUAUGACCAGGGCUACACACGUACUACAAUGGCCGAUACAAAGGGCAGCGACACUGCGAGGUGAAGCCAAUCCCGUAAAAAUCGGUCUCAGUCCGGAUUGGAGUCUGCAACUCGACUCCAUGAAGUUGGAAUCGCUAGUAAUCGUGGAUCAGCAUGCCACGGUGAAUACGUUCCCGGGCCUU